rnacentral:piRNA from 1 species
CACCUUAUGAGACAGGUAAGAACCCACA